CGAUGGAGAUAGAGAUAAGAAAGCUACGAGAUCUAGGGCUGAAAGCAGAAAAGGAAUCCAUCCCAGUAAGGGAGGACGCGCACUGAGUGAACCCUUUUGAUGAGGCGCCUCGUCAUGCGCCCUGAUCUCCUAUUUUACACCGUAAUGGAGGUAGGCGCAUAAACGGGCCGCCCCACCUCCUUCGUGGGCCGCACUGAGCUGCUCCUCCUCCGCUCCGGUUUGGCCGAGCUCGCGCUUUAUGAAAUGCU
rnacentral:lncRNA from 1 species